GACGAACGCUGGCGGCGUGCCUAAUACAUGCAAGUCGAACGCUUCUUUCCUCCCGAGUGCUUGCACUCAAUUGGAAAGAGGAGUGGCGGACGGGUGAGUAACACGUGGGUAACCUACCCAUCAGAGGGGGAUAACACUUGGAAACAGGUGCUAAUACCGCAUAACAGUUUAUGCCGCAUGGCAUAAGAGUGAAAGGCGCUUUCGGGUGUCGCUGAUGGAUGGACCCGCGGUGCAUUAGCUAGUUGGUGAGGUAACGGCUCACCAAGGCCACGAUGCAUAGCCGACCUGGGAGGGGGAGCGGCCACACUGGGACUGAGACACGGCCCAGACUCCUACGGGAGGCAGCAGUAGGGAAUCUUCGGCAAUGGACGAAAGUCUGACCGAGCAACGCCGCGUGAGUGAAGAAGGUUUUCGGAUCGUAAAACUCUGUUGUUAGAGAAGAACAAGGACGUUAGUAACUGAACGUCCCCUGACGGUAUCUAACCAGAAAGCCACGGCUAACUACG
rnacentral:rRNA from 1 species